rnacentral:rRNA from 1 species
UGAGCAAUCUGCCCUUCUCAUCGGAAUAAGCGUUGGAAACGACGUCUAAUGCCGAAUACGACCUCCUUUCGCAUGAUCGGAGGUGGAAAGCUCCGGCGGAGAAGGAUGAGCUCGCGGCCUAUCAGCUAGUUGGUGUGGGUAAUGGCUCACCAAGGCGACGACGGGUAGCCGGCCUGAGAGGGUGACCGGCCACACUGGGACUGAGACACGGCCCAGACUCCGUACGGGAGCAG